GACGAACGCUGGCGGCGUGCCUAACACAUGCAAGUCGAGCGAGGAGGAGGAAGCUUGCUUCCGAAUCCUAGCGGCGGACGGGUGAGUAACGCGUGAGCAAUCUGCCUCAAACAGGGGGAUAACGCAUCGAAAGAUGUGCUAAUACCGCGUAAGACCACAGCACCGCAUGGUGCAGGGGUCAAAGGAGCAAUCCGGUUUGAGAUGAGCUCGCGUCCGAUUAGCUAGUUGGUGAGAUAACAGCCCACCAAGGCGACGAUCGGUAGCCGACCUGAGAGGGUGAUCGGCCACAUUGGAACUGAGAAACGGUCCAGACUCCUACGGGAGGCAGCAGUGGGGAAUAUUGGGCAAUGGGCGAAAGCCUGACCCAGCAACGCCGCGUGAGGGAAGAAGGGUUUCGGCUCGUAAACCUCUGUCCUAUGGACGAAGAAGUGACGGUACCGAUAGGAGGAAGCCCCGGCUAACUACGUG
rnacentral:rRNA from 1 species